UACAGAGGUCCCAAGCGUUAUUCGGAUUCAUUGGGCGUAAAGGGUGCGUAGGUGGCGCUGUAAGUCGGGUGUGAAAUUUCGGAGCUUAACUCCGAAACUGCAUUCGAUACUGCGGUGCUUGAGGACUGGAGAGGAGACUGGAAUUCAUGGUGUAGCAGUGAAAUGCGUAGAGAUCAUGAGGAAGACCAGUGGCGAAGGCGGGUCUCUGGACAGUUCCUGACACUGAGGCACGAAAGCUAGGGGAGCAAACAGG
rnacentral:rRNA from 1 species